rnacentral:lncRNA from 1 species
AAAUCAAUAAAUAAGUAAAUAACCCCAAAAAUAAAAAAAAAUUAAAAAGUCAAUGCAUAACAUAACUGGUACAUAUACCGAGUCUCUAAGAGAAUAACUCAUUAGUGGUACCAUCUUAUAAAUGAGAAAAAAAAUGCAGGAAGGUGAGGAACGUUCCGGGAUCACUGUGAGAGACAGCUACUGCUGCCCAAAGAGCCACUGUCUUUGCCUACUUUGCAGCCUCUGUUGCAGUUGGGUUAGAGACUUGUGACUAGCCUGGUCAACAGACUGUGAGUGGAACUAAUGUGUGUCACUUCCUGGGUGAGGCAGUGAAUAGGUAACGUCCUCCUUCAGUUCUCUCUUCUCCUCCCACAAUGACCCUGGGGGUCAGAUGUUGAGUUAGCGGCACCACAGAAUGGAAGAAGCCUAGAUUUUGACUCACAGCUUUGAGAAAUGUCCCCAUAAACCCUCAUCAGACUAUGCAUGGAUGAGAAAAAACUUAAUGACUCCAGCCAUGAGAUCUGAGGAACUGCUUGUUGCUACACCAGUCUGUCCUAUACAGGUCACAGGAACCUCAAGUAUUUCACAGAAUGAUGCCAAGGAGCGCAGUUUCUACACCAUCCCUCCCGAUCAGACCACAUCUAUUCCAAUCUCAGUCUCAAACUCUUCCCCUUUUUCAACUCACAUUAAUGAAUUCACUAAGUACCUAGCACUGAGAAUAAAAAGCUAAAGCAGCA